UACGUAGGGUGCGAGCGUUGUCCGGAAUUAUUGGGCGUAAAGGGCUCGUAGGCGGUCUGUCGCGUCGGGAGUGAAAACUCAGGGCUUAACCCUGAGCCUGCUUCCGAUACGGGCAGACUAGAGGUAUGCAGGGGGGAACGGAAUUCCUGGUGUAGCGGUGGAAUGCGCAGAUAUCAGGAGGAACACCGGUGGCGAAGGCGGUUCUCUGGGCAUUACCUGACGCUGAGGAGCGAAAGUGUGGGGAGCGAACAGG
rnacentral:rRNA from 1 species